ACGUAGGGGGCAAGCGUUAUCCGGAUUUACUGGGUGUAAAGGGAGCGUAGACGGCUUUGCAAGUCUGACGUGAAAAUCCGGGGCUCAACCCCGGAACUGCGUUGGAAACUGUGAGGCUUGAGUGCCGGAGAGGUAAGCGGAAUUCCUAGUGUAGCGGUGAAAUGCGUAGAUAUUAGGAGGAACACCAGUGGCGAAGGCGGCUUACUGGACGGCAACUGACGUUGAGGCUCGAAAGCGUGGGGAGCAAACAG
rnacentral:rRNA from 1 species